AGCCACCCCCAUCCAUGAACCAGGAACAGAGGUCCCUGUCUGUCUGUGGCCCAUUCUACUGUACUUGAUCCUCUCUGUAUGAUGUCAUCAUGUCCAAAUUACCACAGAGGCCACACACAACAGGCCUCUGUUUAUUGAGAAAGAUCUCAAGGCAGUCAUGGAGGAAUCCCACCAGAGGAGCUGGAAAACGUUGCAGGGGAGAAGGAGGGCUGGGCUACUUUACUGAACCUGCUGCCACUGCAACCUGAUCUCAGAUAAGCAGAAGAAAAUAGAUGGAUGUGCAACUGGAUUUAAUAACUUGCUGUCAUGGCACAUGCACAGUAAAAAAUAAUAUUUAGAUUUCACAGUGUUUAGACUUGUAAUUAUUUCUGACUGAGCCUGUAUGAAGUACCGAGUUACAGCACCAGCACCACAGGCUUAGAUGUAAUUACAUUCAGCCAAAGCAUGUAAUAGUUUAAAUAGCUUUUUUUCAUAUUUGGUGGCUUUCUUUGGAAAACACUAACCUCUUUGUAUGAUCAGAGUGGAAUUACUUCAUGUACAGAUCAGUGACAAA